GAAAGAAAGAAAGGAUAAACACGGUUUGCACAAAAUUAAGAGAAACCGUGAGGUUUUAUCCCUCACCUUGUAAAUUUGUGUUGUUUCAUUAAUCAAAGAGUCUUCAAAUUCAAGAGAGGGAACUCGUGAAGUGUCAAUGGAGGUAUUAAGCUCGAUUUUGUGAUUCAAGCAAGGAAAGGUAAGGAUUUGGUUUUGAGCUUGAGUAAUCUUUGAAAAUGAGUUGAUGACUAAGAGAAAUGUAUUGUGGCGGCAAAGAUCGGCUAGAUUUGGAGGAACUUUGGUGACAUGCAAGUCACCAAACUCAUGGGUGUUUAGUGGAUUUAAGGUGAAAUAACAAUGGAAGCGUGUAAAUAGAGAAAGCGUGCUCUGGUGGCGUGUCGAAUGAGGUGAGGAGUAACCAUCAAGUAAGAUUAGUUAUAUACACACACGAAUCAAUAACAACGUAGCAUCUUGUUAUUGUGAGACAGCGAUCGGCCUAGCGUCCAUUCAUUGACGUUUAUUGUUUACCGUGGAUAGGUAAAGGCAUCUCAUAACAUCUUAUUCCGAGUCGCUCCGCUGCUAGAGGCAGAGUCAUUGUACUUUAUUUUUCUUUUGUAAAUGAAUACGGGUCUCAAUAUAAAUAUUCAAUUGGAGAUUUUAGACUAUGAUGUAUUUACAUAUGAUCAUAUGGA